ACACCGGUUGAUCCUGCCGGACCCGAUUGCUAUCGGGAUGGGACUAAGCCAUGCAAGUCAACGCCCUAGAUAAAGGGCGUGGCGCACGGCUCAGUAACGCGUGGCUAACCUACCCUCGGGACGGGGACAACCCCGGGAAACUGGGGCUAAUCCCCGAUAGAUGAGAGCACCUGGAAUGGGCUUUCAUCUAAAGGGAGAUAGUAGAAUGAUACUAUCUCCGCCCGAGGAUGGGGCUGCGUCCUAUCAGGUAGUUGGCGGGGUAACGGCCCGCCAAGCCUAUAACGGGUAGGGGCUGUGAGAGCAGGAGCCCCGAGAUGGGCACUGAGACAAGGGCCCAGGCCCUACGGGGUGCAGCAGGCGCGAAACCUCCGCAAUACGGGAAACCGUGACGGGGUCAUCCCGAGUGCUACCCGCAGAGGGUAGCUUUUCCCUGGUCUAAAAAGCCAGGGGAAUAAGCGGGGGGCAAGACUGGUGUCAGCCGCCGCGGUAAUACCAGCCCCGCGAGUGAUCGGGACGAUUAUUGGGCCUAAAGCAUCCGUAGCCGGCCCAACAAGUCUUCUCUGAAAUCCUACGGCUCAACCGUAGGGCUGGAGAAGAUACUGUUGGGCUAGGGGGUGGGAGAGGCCGAGGGUACUCUCGGGGUAGGGGCGAAAUCCUAUAAUCCCGAGAGGACCACCAGUGGCGAAGGCGCUCGGCUGGAACACGCCCGACGGUGAGGGAUGAAAGCUGGGGGAGCAAAGGGGAUUAGAUACCCCCGUAGUCCCAGCUGUAAACGAUGCGGGCUAGGUGUUGGAUGAGCUUCGAGCUCAUCCAGUGCCGCAGGGAAGCCGUUAAGCCCGCCGCCUGGGGAGUACGGCCGCAAGGCUGAAACUUAAAGGAAUUGGCGGGGGAGCACCACAAGGGGUGAAGCUUGCGGUUCAAUUGGAGUCAACGCCGGAAAUCUUACCAGGGGCGACAGCCGGAUGAUGGUCAGGCUGACGACCUUACCUGACGAGCUGAGAGGAGGUGCAUGGCCGUCGCCAGCUCGUGCCGUGAGGUGUCCGGUUAAGUCCGGCAACGAGCGAGACCCCCGCUCCUAGUUGCUACUCAGCUCUAUUUAGAGCUGAGGCACUCUAGGAGGACUGCCGGCGCUAAGCCGGAGGAAGGAGGGGGCUACGGCAGGUCAGUAUGCCCCGAAACCCCUGGGCCACACGCGAGCUGCAAUGGUGGGGACAGCGGGAUCCGACCCCGAAAGGGGAAGGCAAUCCCUAAAACCCCGCCUCAGUAGGGAUCGAGGGUUGCAACUCACCCUCGUGAACGUGGAAUCCCUAGUAACCGCGUGUCACUAACGCGCGGUGAAUACGUCCCUGCUCCUUGCACACACCGCCCGUCGCUCCACCCGAGCUGGGGAUAAGUGAAGCCAUGUCUCUAAGGAGGCGUGGCUGAACUUAUCCCCGGCAAGGGGGGAGAAGUCGUAACAAGGUGGCCGUAGGGGAACCUGCGGCCGGAUCACCUCCUAU
rnacentral:rRNA from 1 species